GUGGAUGUUGCUCAGUGGUAGAGCCCUUGCCUAGCCUAUAUGAGGUCCUGUGUUCAAUCACCAGCACUGCA
rnacentral:tRNA from 1 species